CCAACAGGUGAGGAUGACCGUGAGAUGCUGUUUAAAGCAAGUAUACAAGUACAUCAAACAUUUAAGUUGUCUGCUAAACCUGGUUAUUGAUAGUGAUUAGUUAGCGUUAAAGGUCAAAAUUAGCGCGGAGAGGAGAUAAAAUGCGGCAUAAAUGUAGGAAAAUGUCACAGUUUCCUGCUAAGGGCAUUUUUGUUUCACAUUUGACAUUUUGUUAGUUACGGAAGCCGAGAACGGUCGUGCUUGCAAUUAUUUGGCCGUUCUCAGCUUCCGUAGUUAAUUUUACGCUCCUGUUUUUUAGCCGUUAGAUACCACUGAUAGAAUUAGCCUAUAUGCUAAUGAUGCUAACAGGUGAACUUCGGGUGUUUUGCUAUGAUGAAUGCUCACAGUUCCGUAGAAAUUUCACAGUUGGCGCUUCAAAUUUAAGAUAAAGAUUUACGCGGUGAAAUACGAGAGGAAACUUGACUCAUAUUCACAAAAGAUUUUACAUGAGAGAGUGAAGAUCUGUUGACUCCGACACAAUUAUACGGAUGGAUAGUAGAAAAGUCAAAUGAGCGUCGAAACAGCGCCAACACCCCAUUGACUCCCAUAUUGUGGCCGAAGACGGUAUUGCAGCAAGCCUGAAGCUGAUGUCAUUCUUGAAGGCCAGGAAGUCAAAGAGGAGCUGCAAAACAUGACAGAUCAGACUUACAUGGAAGGCGGCUACAAAGAAAGUCAGAGCCAGGAAGUACAGGUUGGUAUCCACAAAGAUCCCUUUAAUCUCAUCAGCAU